AAGUCGUAACAAGGUUUCCGUAGGUAGCAACCUGCAGGAAGGAUCAUUAAUUAGGUAAAAUAAAGGGUUGUCUGGCUGGCCUGCUCGGGGCGCGUGCACGCCCAAAUCCACAACACACCUGUGAACCCACCGUAGGCCCUCGGGCUUAUGUAUUAUCAUAUACUCUGAUCAUAGAAUGUAAAUAUUUUGCCUUAAAAACGCAAUGAAAUACAA
rnacentral:misc_RNA from 1 species